rnacentral:rRNA from 1 species
CCAACGACAAGUUGGAGGAAGGUGGGGAGUGACGUCAAAUCAUCAUGCCCUUUAUGACCUGGGCUACAAACGUACUACAAUGGCCAAUACAAAGAGAUGCGAAGCGGUGACGUGGAGCGAACCUCAGAAAGUUGGUCUCAGUUCAGAUUGAAGUCUGCAACUCGACUUCAUGAAGGCGGAAUCGCUAGUAAUCGCGGGUCAGCAGACCGCGGUGAAUACGUUCCCGGGUUUU